UAAUAAAUUUAGCUUGAAUUAAAUUCAAUAAUAAAUGAAUCAAUUCAAAACUAACAAAAAUUCAGAUGAGCUCAAUACCACUCAACCAAUAUAAUUAUUUUCACAUCUUACUUUUCUAAAGCUUUAUUUGUAUUUUUUUUUUUUCAUUUUGUUAUAAAUCAAUUGGCUGAUAACCUUGUACACAAAAAAAAAAAAAAAGAAUAUAAUAAUAUGUUAAAUCAAAUUGGUUGAGACUUUGUUUACACCAGUUACCACACAUAUCCAAUACUCUUCAGUAUUGAAGUCACGUCAAAAGGGUAAAGAACAAAAGAAGCAGCUUUAUUUUAUUUGCGAACAACUUAUUUGUGUGUUCCUAAAAACAAAGACCCAAAUUCAAUUUAAAAAAAGAAAUUUGUGUCAAAAUCAGUGCAUUUAAUGUGAUUAACAAUUAAAGAAGAAGAUGCCAUCAUUUUGAUAAUGAAGUAGCACUAGUUGGAUAUUUUGAUGGGAUCAGAGAAAUGGCUUAGUCCUUAGAGACAGGCAGGGAAUGUCCCAAUGAUGUUAGCCAGAUUUGGUUGAUUCUGAUUUAAUCAAACCCACCAACUUUUGGGUUGUUCUCAAUUUAUGUAAUUCUUAUGUUAUUUUACUUAUGUUUUAUUUAAUGAGCUAGUGAAUUGUUUAGCAUAUGCCUGUGCUAAUA